rnacentral:rRNA from 1 species
CAACGAGUCGCAAGACCGCGAGGUUUAGCAAAUCUCUUAAAGCCGUUCUCAGUUCGGAUUGUAGGCUGCAACUCGCCUACAUGAAGUCGGAAUCGCUAGUAAUCGCGGAUCAGCAUGCCGCGGUGAAUACGUUCCCGGGCCUUGUACACACCGCCCGUCACACCAUGAGAGUUUGUAACACCCAAAGCCGGUGGGGUAACCUUUUGGAGCCAGCCGCCUAAGGUGGGACAGAUGAUUAGGGUGAAGUCGUAACAAGGUAGC